ACAUCAACUCUUUCUUCCUUACACGCCUUCUUCUUCUUCUUCUUCUACAUUUCUUUAGUUUAGUUAUUUUCAAAGGUGGGACAUGGUAUAGAAUAUAAUUUAAUCAUUUAUAACAUGAAUAUAGCAUCUCUUUCAUGCAUGUAUAAGUAUUCUUGAGUUUCUUUUCAUGUUUGGAAUGAAAAUAUUUUACGGGAAACCAUAAAUUCUAUAUAUGUUCUUCAA
rnacentral:misc_RNA from 1 species